rnacentral:rRNA from 1 species
GAUGAACGCUGGCGGCGUGCCUAAUACAUGCAAGUCGAGCGAACAGACGAGGAGCUUGCUCCUCUGACGUUAGCGGCGGACGGGUGAGUAACACGUGGAUAACCUACCUAUAAGACUGGGAUAACUUCGGGAAACCGGAGCUAAUACCGGAUAAUAUAUUGAACCGCAUGGUUCAAUAGUGAAAGACGGUUUUGCCGUCACUUAUAGAUGGAUCCGCGCCGCAUUAGCUAGUUGGUAAGGUAACGGCUUACCAAGGCAACGAUGCGUAGCCGACCUGAGAGGAUGAUCGGCCACACUGGAACUGAGACACGGUCCAGACUCCUACGGGAGGCAGCAGUAGGGAAUCUUCCGCAAUGGGCGAAAGCCUGACGGAGCAACGCCGCGUGAGUGAUGAAGGUCUUCGGAUCGUAAAACUCUGUUAUUAGGGAAGAACAAAUGUGUAAGUAACUAUGCACGUCUUGACGGUACCUAAUCAGAAAGCCACGGCUAACUACGUG